CUCCCCUUCUCCCUCCCUCUUGCCCCCCUCCUCAGUACCUCUGCCCUGCCACCACUCCUUCUCCCUUCCUCAUUCUCUUAGUGUUGGGCCAUUGCUGCAGCUGCCGCCACCUAGGAAUAUGGAGAAUCAAGGUGAUGACACUCAGAGCCAGCCCACUACAAGCCAAUCAAUUGGUGAUGUUACUUCUAGUGAGGAGCCGAGUCAAAGCCAGUCUGUGAGGAGGGGGAGACGUGGCACACGAUUGAGAGAUCUGACUUUAAGUAGGAGUGCUGGGCGUAGGUUACUAAUUCAAUUUGACCAGAGAUGAAAUCCGAUAGGGCCACAUAAAGCCAAGUUUGUUAGUUUUCUUGGCCUCCUAUCACAUACCAAGACUCGUAUUGUGUUUGAGGACUGGCCUGAUGUGCCAGAACGUGUAAAGGAACAGAUUUGGGAAACUAUUCAGCUCACAUAUGAUGUUUCAUCUAAUCAAGAUUGUCGACACAAGUUGAUUUCUUAUGUGAAACAUGUUGGAGAAAUUUUAAGAUUGAUCUUGCUCGAAGAUAUAUCUUUAUCGAGGUGCCAGAGGGUUAGGCUCGUCCCAAUCCUCUUGAUACAUACCAAUUCCUUGAUGAAGAUACUUGGGAAGAAUUUGUCAGGAUUUGGACUUUUGAAAAGGCUAUGGAAAAAUGAGCUAAAGGGUGAGAAAUUGCUCGACAGAAUCAAUGCCCCCAUACUCUGUCUCAUGGUGGUUAUGAUAGAGCUGAUGAUUACUGAUGGUAGAAAAACAGAAGAAGAGAGAAGAAGAAGUCAAGUCUGAUCCUUCCAUACUCCUUUCUCCACCAUCACCUGUCUCUCGAGAGGAGAAAUGGAGAUAUGGACAUCAGUACAAGAAAGGAGGCUAUACAAGUGAGACAGC